AUUAAAUUGUUAAAAUGUUUUUAUUAUUGUUUUGUUUAUUGACUAGUACAGUAAUCUUAUUAUAUUAUUAUAUUGUAUUACAUAUUAAUGUGAGCUAAUUUUGGACAUACGUAUUGCUCCAAUAAAAAAAAAAGAGAUAAUUUACCAUAUAUAAUAUAUGGUAUAUGGAUAAAAAUUAAACUGUGCGAUGAAAUUCUCUUUGAACGUUUUACGGGUUUGAAAAUUGGAAAUUUUUACACAAGAUUUUUUGAACACUCCAGAUUAUAAAUUCUAAGUUCUAGAUUUUAAUUUAUUUCCCAACUUAUAUCGUUGCGUGUGAGAAAGUUAUCUUCACUUUUUUCGGUUUUGCCAGUCAUGAUGCUCUUGUAAGACACGUACGUUUGUUUGAGAAUUUAUUUAGGUAAAUAAUACAUUGCUAAUUGAUAGCGCGUGACGAAAUUGAUUAAGGACGCACAACGAAGAUAGAAUUUAAUCGGGUUUAUCUGCGCAUUAUUCGGUAAUAACGAGGUUGCCGAUAACUUCCGAGAUCAGAGAUGCUUCGGUGACCUCGAUAAGAAGAUUACAAAUUGGCAAAUCGUUUCGUUUGCGUAGCGUAUCUCGAAAAAAAACCUCGGGUCUUGUCUUUUACGCGAUCAAUCUGCUUCUCUCUUUCUCGCGACAGGACGGUGAGAGGAGACUUCGCGCUCGUCGUCCCAUUGUGCUUCUUAGUACAGAGAAGAAUGGAUAGAUUCGCGUCCAAAAGCUUCGACGCAACGAAAGUGUCGCCUCGCUCUGACGGGGAAAGCGUGCAGGCCAGGAUUAAUUCUUCGACACUCGAAACGAUGUACGAAGAAGAGAGACACGGAGCGAUUUAUCUUCCGCUCUUUUCGGCUCUUUUUCGCGCUCAAUGUCAUACGCCAACCUGACGCAAUCUUGAAGGCAAAAAAAAAUCAUCUCGUGAGAAAGAGAAGAGGAAAGAGAGAAAGAGAGAGCGAGAGAGAGAAUUAGCUAUCCCUAUCGUGUGGAACGAUAUGCGUGCAUCAUUCCGGAGUCGAUGAUUGCGGCGAGCAAAAUAAUAACCAGGCGUCGUGGAUGCCGAUCGAUCUUCGUGAUCGUUGCGCUUUCUGAUUGCGACAAACGUGUCACGGCAGCGAUAAAUAUGGCUUUAAGUUUGAUGUUUUGUAGUGCAAACCGUUGCUGACCGGCGCAACGAAGAGAACUUCCUGAUAAUUUAUCUGAGCAAGCAGCUGAUAAAAUUGUUCGCGCGAUUGCUGCUCUAGGACGAGGACGCGAUGCUGGAGCAUCUGGAGCAAGGUAGCGCUAUUUUCAAGGAAACACAUCGAUCGUUUUGGCCACGUCGCUACGUCUAGGCAAGUUUAUUGAUCGAUCUUUUCAUUAGUCUUCCACUUGUGGCAGGCGAAGAAGUCUUCUCGGCAUAUUUAUCAACGAAAUAAAGUACAAAUGCACCGCAAUUACGUCGCGCGACUCCGAAUUUUCCAUUUGGAAUAUCAAUGAGAUAUAAAAUAACGAUAAAAUUUUAUUAUUGUCACAUUUUGGUAAUUAGCGUGUGGACUUUAAAUGUCUGGAAGUUUAUCGUAUUUAUUCGCUUUAAUCACUAUUACUUCUUAUUAUUUUUUUCAAAUUUCUCUUAUCACAUUAUACUUAUUUUUAUAACACAUAAGAUAUGUGGACUUUUUUCUGUCAAUUUUAAAAUUGAUUUAAUUAACGAUAAUUAAAAUACAUUGUAUAUUUGCAUUGCAAAUUCAGUCUCGAGACGGUCCACCCACGGAUGAGUACAAGAUCUUUUAGAUGUCAAAAGAUCUGAAAGGGGUGGAGCGAUGUUUCUUGUCGAUCUUUUGGAGAAAAAAACCAUGCUUAUGUUAAAAUAAGAUAACUCUAACGUCACUCUUGACAUCUGUUUUGCAGAUUUUCU
rnacentral:lncRNA from 1 species